ACCUGCGAGCAGGCCCAGCUCUUGGCCAACCUGGCGCGGCUCAUCCAGGCCAAGAAGGCGCUGGACCUGGGCACCUUCACGGGCUACUCCGCCCUGGCCCUGGCCCUGGCGCUGCCCGCGGACGGGCGCGUGGUGACCUGCGAGGUGGACGCGCAGCCCCCGGAGCUGGGACGGCCCCUAUGGAGGCAGGUGAGCGCCCGCGCCUAGCUCUGCAGCCCCAGGCGGGGGCGCAACGGCUGACCCGCUCCCUCCGCAGGCCGAGGCGGAGCACAAGAUCGACCUCCGGCUGAAGCCCGCCUUGGAGACCCUGGACGAGCUGCUGGCGGCGGGCGAGGCCGGCACCUUCGACGUGGCCGUGGUGGAUGCGGACAAGGAGAACUGCUCCGCCUACUACGAGCGCUGCCUGCAGCUGCUGCGACCCGGAGGCAUCCUCGCCGUCCUCAGAGUAAGGGAUCCACUGCGGGGGAGGAGAAAGCACCCUGUCGGGCCGGGUCCCCAUCUCUUCCCUUGACUCCUCUUAUACCCCAAAGCCCCACCCAGUCCAGUCACGUAGGCUACACCCCCUGCGGGGCUCCGGCCCCGGUACCCAGGCUUUCCUCCGCUUUGGUUCUGUCUCCGGCUCUGGUCAC
rnacentral:sRNA from 1 species